GACGAACCGUGCGAACGUUAUUCGGAAUCACUGGGCUUAAAGCGCGUGUAGGCGGGAGGGCACGUCCGUUGCUGAAAUCCCCCGGCUCAACCGGGGAACGGGCGCGGAUACGACUCUCCUUGAGGGGCGUAGGGGACCUGGAACUUCCGGUGGAGCGGUGAAAUGCGUUGAGAUCGGAAGGAACGCCCGUGGCGAAAGCGAGGUCCUGGACGCCUACUGACGCUGAGACGCGAAAGCCAGGGGAGCGAACGGG
rnacentral:rRNA from 1 species